GGCCGCCUGGCGAAAUGGCAUCGCGUCUGACUACGAUAGAGCAGGAACAGUAGGGCGUUUCUAUAUAGAUCAGGAGAUUGCAGGUUCGACCCCUGCGGUGGUCA